UGGUGAGGACUCACAAAAGAGGUGCU
rnacentral:piRNA from 1 species